rnacentral:rRNA from 1 species
UACGAAGGGGGCUAGCGUUGUUCGGAAUUACUGGGCAUAAAGCGCACGUAGGCGGAUAUUUAAGUCAGGGGUGAAAUCCCAGAGCUCAACUCUGGAACUGCCUUUGAUACUGGGUAUCUUGAGUAUGGAAGAGGUAAGUGGAAUUCCGAGUGUAGAGGUGAAAUUCGUAGAUAUUCGGAGGAACACCAGUGGCGAAGGCGGCUUACUGGUCCAGAUCUGACGCUGAGGUGCGAAAGCGUGGGGAGCAAACAGG